rnacentral:rRNA from 1 species
CAUAGCGACUAUCGUGGCAUAUCAAUAAGCGGAGGAAAAGAAACUAACAUAGGAUUCCCUCAGUAACGGCGAGUGAAGCGGGAAGAGCUCAAAUUUGAAAUCUUCAAGGUUUUACCUUGACGAAUUGUAGUUUAAAGAAGUGUUUUCUGUUGGAUGUUUUGGUAAAAGUUCAUUUGGAAUAGGACAUCAUAGAGGGUGAGAAUCCCGUAUUUGACCAUUACUUCCAGCUGUUGCUGAUACACUUUCAAAGAGUCGGAUUGUUUGGGAAUGCAGUCCAAAAUGGGUGGUAAAUUUCAUCUAAAGCUAAAUAUUGGCGAGAGACCGAUAGCGAACAAGUACCGUGAGGGAAAGAUGAAAAGAACUUUGAAAAGAGAGUUAAACAGUACGCGAAAUUGUCAAAAGGGAAGCGUUUGACACCAGUGUUGUUUUCUCGAAAAUCAAUUAAAUAAUUUGGAUUUUGUAGUAGUUAUGACCUUAUCAGCUUGACUGUACUUUUUUCUUGCUAACUUAUUGAAUGCACUUUUCGGUUAACAAGUCAACAUCAAUUUCUUUUGUUGUAAAAGGGUCAUUGGAAGGUGGCUUUCACUUCGGUGAAAGUGUUUAUAGCCUUUGGCUUCUACAAUCGGAGAGAUUGAGGUCUGCAGCGUAGAUCCUUCGGGGUUAGAUACGUAGAUGCUAAGUUAUAGUUUUUUAUAGACAACUUGUUGACUAUGAUUAAUCAUGUAGCUUACUCGUUUACGCUAUUGUACCUACGCUUAGGAUGUUGAUAUGCAUGACUGAUA